CAUUCUUCCUUCUUCGACAGUUCUUUUGCACACUGGCUUUUCACUGAGUGCAAAAUCCCAACUCAGCUUAGAAGAGCCUGUUUCCUCGCACAUGACCACAGAAGGCUGCAUGCAGAACACCAGAGUAUCUUGAAAGAAAACAACCCCAAGCUGGAAAGAAGCCCCGAAGACUGGAUUAUUCUGGUGUGAUUGGUUCAAGUCACUGCUCACAGAGACUUAGAGACAAAUGCGGAUCGUGCAGGCCAAGGACCCUUCUUGGCUUCCGGGCUCUGAGUCUGGACACUCAGGUACCAAAUCCUUCGGGGUUAGUGAAUGAUUGCAAGUGGUUGUUUUUUUCCCAACCGUGGUGGAAAAAAAAAUGUACAGUGUAUAAUAAACUGUUUCGCUAAAAUCUCAAAGAAUUCAGAAAUCAAACUUCCAGCUGUACACAGUAUUAAUAUUGUCAUUGUAAACGGAACAGGUUCAAUAUCAUGUGCAAAGGUUGAAAAUGCUUGUUAACACUGCCAUCGUAACAGCAGCGUGGGUUUUCAGCCUGUGGGACACAUCUGUGCGCGUGUGUGGCUGUAGUUGUUUUUUUGUUGUCCUUGCGGUGGUUGGUUUGUUUUGUUUGUUGUUAACCAGGGGUGAGCCAUGUUACAGAAGAUGUGGUUGAAAAGUUAGCUUCGAACAGACGUCAGAAGUCUUUUUUUUUUUUUUUCCCUUCUCAAAACACACAC